rnacentral:tRNA from 1 species
GUCCCGGUAGCUCAGCUGGAAGAGCGCCGCCCCGACACGGCGGAGGUCGCUGGUUCGAACCCAGCCCGGGACA